UGGGGAAUUUUGGACAAUGGGGGCAACCCUGAUCCAGCAAUGCCGCGUGUGUGAAGAAGGCCUUCGGGUUGUAAAGCACUUUUGUCCGGGAAGAAAUCGCACCUGAUAAUACCGGGUGUGGAUGACGGUACCGGAAGAAUAAGGACCGGCUAACUACGUGCCAGCAGCCGCGGUAAUACGUAGGGUCCAAGCGUUAAUCGGAAUUACUGGGCGUAAAGCGUGCGCAGGCGGUUGUGCAAGACCGAUGUGAAAUCCCCGGGCUUAACCUGGGAAUUGCAUUGGUGACUGCACGGCUAGAGUGUGUCAGAGGGGGGUAGAAUUCCACGUGUAGCAGUGAAAUGCGUAGUGAUGUGGAGGAAUACCGAUGGCGAAGGCAGCCCCCUGGGAUAACACUGACGCUCAUGCACGAAAGCGUGGGGAGCAAACAGG
rnacentral:rRNA from 1 species